UACGUAGGGUGCGAGCGUUGUCCGGAAUUAUUGGGCGUAAAGAGCUUGUAGGCGGUUUGUCGCGUCUGCCGUGAAAUUUCGAGGCUCAACCUCGAACUUGCGGUGGGUACGGGCAGACUAGAGUGUGGUAGGGGAGACUGGAAUUCCUGGUGUAGCGGUGAAAUGCGCAGAUAUCGGGAGGAACACCGGUGGCGAAGGCGGUUCUCUGGGCCUUACCUGACGCUGAGGAGCGAAAGCGUGGGGAGCAAACAGG
rnacentral:rRNA from 1 species